GCUGGAAUUUUUUGCUUUUGCUUUCACCGUUGGAUUUGUGCUCUAGCUGCGGCUGCUUGCUGCGUUUUUUGUUGUUGUUAUUUUUGGAAGCUCUAGUUCUGUGUCAGCGUAAUUACACUACACAACAAAAUGACGACGCUCGAAGACUUAAAACGCCAACGGAGCAAUAUAAAACGAAAUAUAACUCGGAUCAAAUCUGUGGUAGAUGCUAAAUCGGAAACCCCGAUAUGCAAUGAUGAGCUUCGCUAUCGGUUGAACAUCUUAGAAACGUAUUUCAAGAAUGUUUUAAAUGUCCAAGCUAUAUUGAAGACCUUAGUCCGAAUGAUGAAGGACGGGCAGAUUUGGAGGAUACAUACAUAGCAAUCAAGCUAGCCAUAAAGGAAAAAAUGGGAGGAGAUCUGAACGCCAGCAUUGUUGCGCCUUACUACCACCCACCGCCAGUGAAGUCAUCGUUACCAAGGUUGUCGCUACCCACUUUCGACGGAACAUAUGCAAACUAUAAGAAUUUCUUCACUCGUUCGAGCAAAUUGUUGUGCGUGAGUCUGGAUUGUCUAAUAUAGAAAAGUUUAAUUAUUUGCUGACCUGCCUCACGGGGCCGGCAUUAGAUACAAUUCAGGCAUUCCAGGUUACAAGCGAAAACUAUCCGAAGGCCCUAGCAAAACUCAAAAGCCGUUUUGAUAAUCCUACUCUUAUAUUUUUAGAAGGUAUUGAGGCAUUGUUUGCACUACAACCUGUGAAAAGGUCAAACAGUCAGCAGCUUCACAGCCUAGUGGAUAAGGCAUCCGCUAUAUUAAGCUCGCUGGAGUCCAUCGGCAAACCUGAGAACAUUGUUCACGCUAUGGUUAUAUAUAUUAUAAUGGAAAAGUGUGAUCAGCAAACUCGGAACAAGUGGAAGGAAUCGCAGGACUACAAAACUCUGCCAACCUUGCUAGCAUGCACACAGCUUUUGGAACGCCACUGUCAGUUUCUCCAUUCGUCUGGAAACUCGGCUGCUACUUCGUCACAACGAAAGGCUGAAUCCAAUAAUUCUGGCCAUAAGAUCUCUAAUUGCGCUCAGUUCAAGGCUAUGAACAGCAACCAACGGUACGACAAUGCAAAACGCCUCGGUCUCUGCACCAAUUGUCUUGGAAAUGGUCAUAGAGUGGCGUAAUGUUCAUCGACUCAUCGUUGCCGAUCCUGUAAUCGGAAUCAUCAUUCAUCUUUGCAUCACUCUCAGCCGCAACAGCCACCCCAAUCAUCAGCAGGACAAUCUUCAACUACUGAACCGGUACUCCAACCAGCGCAACCCUCCUGGCAAACGGCUCAUCAAGCUGCUUCACACUCUCAUAUGGAGAUCGCAGCAGAUGAUCAAAUUUUGUUGGCAACAGCUAUGGUUUUGGUAAAGGAUGCCACAGGUGAAUACAAACUCGGUAGAGCGUUGCUUGAUUCAUGUUCUCAGGUUAAUUUUGUAACCGAAACCUUUGCACAAAAGCUUCGCCUUCGUCGUGAAAAACACCACAUUGGACUCCCUUACUAGUUUGAAGGCUCGUACGACUACCUCUAUUAAGUCACGUACUUCCGGCUAUCAGCUCACUCUCCAGUUUGGAAUCACAUCCCAUAUUGCCUACCAGCCAGAUAGUGAGAUCGACAUAUCGAAUUGGAACCUACCAGCUAACACUCCAUUGGCUGACGAAUCGUUCUAUAGGACUAAACGUAUUGAUUUGUUACUGGGGACCGAAGCCUUCUAUGGAGCUCUAGCUGUUGGCCAGAUUCGCAUUGGUCCAAAUCUUCCCACUUUGCAGAAGACUCUUUUUGUUGGGUUGUUGCUGGGAGGUACCAGUGGCAAUAUAACAGACAGCCACCAUUGUGCUUGGCGACUGUAGAAGAGUCGAUCGACAAGAAUUUGCAGCAAUUAUGGAAAGUGAACUCAUUUGUCGAUCCAAGCGCUAGAAUGCUCCCAAAUCAUCGUCGCUGUGAGGACCAUUUCAGGGACACAACACAUCAGGAUGCCAGUGGGCGGAUUGUCGUUCGCUUGCCAUUUCAAGAAGAUCCAAGUUGUUUUGGAAGCUCCUUCGAUACAGCUCGAACUCGAUUUUUUGCCAUUGAGAGACGUCUCGCUCGUCUACCGGAAAUUCGCUCGCAGUAUAUCUCGUUCAUGCAGGAAUAUGAAAGUCUCGGCCAUAUGUCCCUCGUACUGAAUCCUAACUUGGAAGAACCGCAUUAUUAUAUACCCCACCAUUUCGUUCUGAAACCAAGCAGUACCUCGACGAAGCUCAGAGUUGUCUUUGACGCCUCUUGCCGUACAACAUCUCAAAGGUCACUUAACGACCUACUUUUAGUCGGCCCUAACAUUCAGGAUGAGUUGUACUUGCAAUUGCUGCGGUUCCGCAUGCAUAGGUUCGGCAUCACAGCCGACGUCACAAAAAUGUACAGGCAGGUACUUGUGAGUGAGAAGGAUAGAAAAUUCCAGUACAUUUUGUGGCGAGCAUCUCCAAAUACGGAUCUUCAAACCUACCAACUCAAUACAGUGACAUAUGGGACUGCGUCUGCCCCAUUUCUCGCAACUCGUAGUUUGCAUUACUUGGCUGAGGAUUGUAAGGAUGCAUGGCCAUUAGGGGCUGCUGCUGUUAAAACUGCAUUUUAUGUCGAUGACCUUUUGUGUGGGGCUGAUGAUAUAGAUACACUCUUCAAACUAAAAACUGAAAUCACAUCAACUCUCGCUCGUGGUCAGUUUCCAUUAUGCAAGUGGCAUUCAAAUCAUCCAGGCGUGAUGGAAGACGAAUCUACCAAGGAAUAAAACAUUUCAGAAAACUCAGUCAGCAGCACACUCGGCGUAACUUGGCAUCAACGAAGUGAUGCAUUUAGUUUCACAUUUAAUCCAAAGGAAGUCUAUCCCACUACCACAAAACGAACAAUUUUGUCUACUGCGUCGUCGCUAUUCGAUCCAAUCGGUCUGCUAUCACCGUUAGUCAUUGUCUCUAAGAUCAUUCUUCAGGAGUUGUGGCUUUUGAAACUCGACUGGGACGAGUCUGUCCCCCAGAAUUUAAGCCACGCAUGGAGCAAGUGUUUGGAAUCGCUGAAUUCACUGUCGUCACUAGCGGUACCUCGUUUUUGUUUGCAGCCUGAUACUAGUAGCAUUCAAAUACAUGGAUUUUGCGACGCAUCGAUUCGGGCAUACGGCUGCUGUGUUUAUGUGCGCACGGAGAAUUCGCUUGGACAGGUCACAGUGAAAUUGUUCACUUCUAAGUCUAGAGUAGCACCAGUGAAGAAACAGUCUCUUCCGAAGCUUGAACUAUGCGGCGCACAUCUACUUUCUCAGUUGUAUAACAAAGUCAAGGCCAUAUUCAGUAAACACACUAUCACAUCUUAUUUUUGGAGCGACUCACAGCUCGUAUUGCAUUGGCUGCAACAACACUCAGUCACCUUAUCGACCUUUGUUGGAAAUCGAGUGUCCGAUAUUCAGGAUUUAACGUCUGAUGGAAAAUGGCGCUAUGUGCCAACACAUCAAAACCCUGCUUAUAUUCUGUCGCGAGGCUGUAACGUGAGCGAGUUGAUUAAGUCUCCAUGGUUUUCGGGUCCUACGUUUCUAGUCGAAGAUUCACUAAACUGGCCCGCCACUGGUGGAAAACUUGAUAUUGACAUGGACGUGGUUAACUCGGAGAAUCGGAAAAGUUUGUUUGCUGCCGUACACGAGACAAAUAAUAUCCUCAACAUCGUCGAUAAUAUCAGCUCAUACACUCACAGUCUGCGUCUCAUUGCUUGGAUGAUUAGGUUCAUAAGGAGAUGUCGGAAGCAAUCGACGUUCACCACAACCUCACCGACGCCAGAUGAACUUCGAUUUGCUUCACAUUGCCUUAUUUGGAACAUUCAACAAACUCAUUUUGUAGAGGACAUCCGUUUACUUCAGAAGCAAAAACCAUUAAAAGCAGCUUAAAGUUUCUUACUCCCUUUUUAGAAGUCGUGAACGGAUUCGAACUUAUCAAGGUUGGUGGACGUUUGGAAUACUCAGACCUACAAGACGGUCAAAAACAUCCGUUGCUGCUGCCUAGUCAGUCCAAAUUUGUAUGGAACUAUAUUCGCCAUUUGCAUCUUCGGAACUAUCACGCUGGACCUAAAGCCCUAGUCGCUCUCAUUCGUUUGGAGUAUUGGAUCGUUAACGCCAGAGACUUGGCACGUAGAAUUGUUCGCUCCUGUGUACACUGCGUUCGCUACAGACCGAAGCUGCUACAACAACUCAUGGGCUCAAUACCGCCUACGCGACUCGCUCCGGCUCGACCCUUUGAACGCUGUGGAGUUGACUUUUGUGGACCCAUCAACACAUAUCUACGCAUUCGAGGAAAGGGACCUACAAAAGCAUACAUAGCCGUGUUCGUUUGCCUUCUCACCAAGGCCGUUCACAUCGAAGUAGUCUCUGAUUUGUCAACAAAGGCGUUCUUAAACGCAUUGAAACGGAUGGGAGGUCGUCGCAAGCUGCCGACAGACAUCUUCUGCGAUAAUGCCACUAACUUUGGCACCUCAUUUCGGAGGCCUUUGGGAAGCGGCAGUCAAGAGUGCAAAGGGGCUGUUAAAUCGUACGCUGGCCAACACCAGGUUCACCUUUGAAGAGUUGAGCACUGUCGUCGUCGAGAUAGAAUCGAUCCUCAACUCGCGCCCGCUAUCGCCGCUUUCGUCAGACCCAAAUGACUAUAGCACUCUCACGGCUGGUCAUCUCUUGGUUGGCGAAUCAUUGCGAUCACUACCUGAAAGGUCCCUCGAGAAUAUCAAGCUGUCAAGUAUGGACCGCUACGAUGCGAUUACGGCCGUCAAGCAACGGUUUUGGAAGCAAUGGUCUGCUGACUAUGUCAACGAAUUGCGAUCGCGCACGAAGUGGACAGCACCCUCAACGAACCUCACUGAGGGCACGUUGGUCAUCAUCCAUGAGGACAACCUGCCACCGCUACGCUGGAAACUAGGCCGAGUGCAGUCUACUGUGCUUGGGAAGGAUGGACUUGUACGGGUGGUGCACCUCCGCACUGCAAAUGGAAAAUGUUGCAGGCCAAUACACAAGUUGGCAAUUCUUCCGGUGGUUUAAGAGCAGUCCUUUCAACGGGGCC